CUCUGAGUUACGACAGUUUUAAUGGUACCCUAAAGGUCAUCUUAAAGGUUGAAAACCUGAACAGGGGACCGAGCAUCCUGUGGGCUGCAGACGCUGGCAACAAAAUUCAGAGAAAAAAGGAACAUGGCUGCUGGUGAACAUAGGUGGCUCCUGCGAAGCAUGCUUACAUCGACGCAUGUGCUGAGGGGUAUCGAUUCGCCUUUGACACAUUCAGAGGUCCCUGCGAUGCUUGUGAUGUCCUCGUCUUCGAACUUCAAACGCAUUGCCUAUGGUGCCUGGAUUGAGACACCUGCUCCUUGAGGGAACAGUGUCAUGAUGGACCUCACGAGUGGUACGGUUUUCCUCCAAUACAGGACGAAUUCGUUUGAAAAAAUGAUGAGGACUCGCGCAGACCGGUGAUCACCAUUGUGCAACACGCAGAUAUGUUUUCCCAAGAGGAAAUGUGGCUGUACUCCGUCCAGAACUCUGUCUAUGAUCUUCCUGGUGGACUUCAGCUGAUCACCCGUAUCUUCCUCGUGCGAGGGCUAGUUCUCUUGCCGAAUCAUUUGGAGUUCUUCCCCGUGCACUAGGUGCCACAAGCACUUACAGUUUCCUGUUUUUAGAAUUUGUCAUUCAACGCACCUUUGUAAUGUACUAUACCAUCACCCUCGGUGGCUUGUUUUAUGGACAACGGAACCAGCGAAACAACAGGAUUGGGAUUGUUGUCCUAUCCUUUCGCGUAAACGUUGCACACUCAAAAUGGACUCAAGCGUGUUCUCGUCGAGACUUUACGACGCUCGUCUCAAGUGUCACAGGGGAGUGUGGUGUUAGUUGCGGGCUGGCCGUCCUAUAGCAGCUCCCCUGUCGCAAUGGAUUUAACGCAUGUCUCCCGUUCCAUAGUUCUGCCACAUUUCUACAGACUACAUAGUUUUUUGUGUUUUCAUUCUCUUUUGUUUUCUUAUGUUUUAUGUUUUAGGUACAAUCACGACUGAGGAUGACCUUGGUGGUGAGUCCACUGUCGUGCCACUGGCGGGCAGAGUGGGAAUUUUCCCUGAAAAUUGGCCGCUGUCAGGGUUUUUCGCCCACUCCUAGUUCAUGUUGUGAUUAGGCAUAUCUGAUGCUGUUAUGAGGGUGGGACUAAUGUGAUUUAACGUCGAUUUUAUAAUGUUGAUUUUCAUUUUAUGUUGAUUUAGUUUUUUACUGAUUUUAAUCGUUUUUGUUUUUUUAGGUUUACUCGUCAAAUUCACUGAUUUUAAGAUUUUAGGUAGUUUUUCACAGAUUUUUUAUUUAGUCGAUUUUGAAGAAUGAUUUGUGUUAUCACUGAUUUUAAUCGAUUUCACUGGUCUUAGGUAGGUUUUGUGUUUUCAUGGUUUUAGUAGAUUCUUUUUUGAGUUUGGGUUUCCUGACCAAGUCAAUUUUGAAGUGGUUGUUUUUGUUUUACAUUUUGCUUUUAUUUUCAAUUAUAGUAGAUUGUGUACUUAUAAUUAUUUUACUUUGAUCACCAUGGACGUCGUGCUACAACGGACUUUUGGAUUCAAAUCCUCGGAUCAACAUGUGGAUUUUUCGGUUUUCUUUUAUGGACGUCAACAUGAGUACCUGGUCAAGUGCUAGUAACCUCUUCCACGGCUCCAACGAGACCCCCUGCGAUACGCAAAGUAUCUGGGUCAGAAGAAAACCAUAUGUGCCAAAGAACUCAAUACAUAUAUGUGGGAAAAAAAAAUUUGUUUUUACUUUUGUGUUACAUGACAUGUAUGGUUGGUGAUGGGUUAAAACGGAAGUAGGCGGUGUGUGAGACUAAUUAAUCUCAGAGGGGGAGUAAUGUCGAGAAAAAUAUUCUACUCAACCUUAUCUAGCGUGUGUUUUAAUCAAACCAAUAUAAUCCAAAAAAUUUACCUAAUAAUUAGUAUAGAACUUAUUAGAUACAAUAGGAGUAGCUUGUAAAACCUAUUUAUCCUGUAUGUUAACCAAACUCAUGUAACCUGUUUACUCCAAGUAUAAUUAAAAUAUUAAUAAUCAGGCACUUCUGUAGGAGAGUAGAAUAGAGUCUGACUGGUGUGAUGAGUGUGUUGAAGAGACAGAGAACAAAGACAAUGUGUAUUAUUGAGGGAAAAAAGAGCUUGUGAGCCUCAGCAGCUGCAGAAGACACGAGGGAGUACUCAGGUUCAGGUUCAGGGUCGGGUGAAGGUAAGGGAGCAUAAUAAUUGGGUGACAGGACCAGAGAAAUAGGAGAAUAAUCAGUGGGAGACCAGCAUGAAGAAUAAGGAGAAGAUUGUUGUUUUGUUGAAGGAAAACAGUUGUCAUCGUCAAGGAUCUCGUCAUAGGUUUGGUUUUGCUGAUGAGAAACAGCGAAGAGAUCAGACGGAGUCUGUGUGCCCGUAUCACGUGUGAAGGUGCUCAGCACGAUGUGAGGAGGCAGACAGGGGUUCUCUGGAAUAGUUGGGGUUGAGAGGUGUUCAAUAAAUCGAGCAACCUCAGUGGCGAGAGAGAACAGCUGGAAUUGGUGAUACUGUUUGCGGAGAACGCUCCUAAGAGAAGUCCCAGAACGUCUGUGUGGUGACAAAAAGUGACAAAAACUGAUACAUGCACACCAGAAUGAUAGUCUUAUAAAUACAAUCUCCUGCGAUGCUCAACACACUGUAACAAUCAGUUCAGAAAAUACUAAUGAAGUAGAACCCGAGAUCCUCACAUAACCAAGUAGAGUAAUAGAGUCAAACACAUGCGAAUAGAUAAUCUAAUACACUGAUAUAGCUAGAUUUAAUAAAAGUAGAGAAACAAACAGCAUUAUAAAAAGAAUAAAAGCAGAACACUUACACAUUGCAGAUGCAGGAGGACGAAAUAGGCCACAAAAUAAUUGUUCACACGUGAAAGACUGAAGCGAUGUCUGGUUAAACUCAGAGAGAGUGAAGGUUUUAUAUAUAAUUCUUUUAAAUUAAACCAGAGAAAAGGACGAAGAUAAAGGGAAUGGAGGAGAGCAGGAAACCCAAAUAUGGAACCACAAGAAAGGGGUGGAAAACCAAGGCCGAAGAUAAGAGGGAUUGAAAAAAGAAGGCAAAGUCAGGAAAAUAAGGGGAAUUUCGAACUUAGAAAAAAGCAAAAGACACCAGGUGUCUCCAGGGUAUAAAUGAGUGUCAGCAAAAUGCAUGUGUGCUUGAUCAUUUUGAUGUGAUGAAGUGACCACCUUCUAUGUGCUCAUUAGAACGUGACUGGAAUAAAGAAGUUUUGCUUUUAUUCA